GGGUUUUCCAGCACAAAGUUCCAAAGUCCUUCCACAUGCUUCCCUAAAGGAUAGUGGGGUCUGUCACAGUGAUACCCCACUACACUGGUACCAACUUGUCUUAGUCAGGGUUCCUAUUGCUGCGAUGAAACACCACCAUCAAAAAGCAAGCUGGGGAGGAAAGGGUUAUUGGGCUUACAAUUCUAGAUCAUAGUCCAUCAAUGGGGGAAAUUAGGACAGGAACUCACACAGGGCAGGAACCCAGAGGCAGGAGCUGAUGCAGAGGCCAUGGAGGGGUGCUGCUUACUGACUUGCUCCCUGUGGUUUGCUCAGCCUGCUUUCAUAUAGAACCCAGGAGCCCCAGCCCAGGGAUGACACCACCCACAGUGGGCUGGACCCUCCCACAUUGAUCAAUAAUUGUGAAAAUGCCUUACAGCUGGAUCUCAUGGAGGCAUUUCCUCAACUGUAGCUCCUUCCUCCCUGAUCACUCUAGCUUGUGUCCAACUGACACACAAAGCCAGGCAAUACAGCCUCCCAUUUGGUCCUCACACUUAAAACCGAAUCGUGAAGUGCUCGAUGAACCCAAACGAGGAAAGUCUCCAUCCUAAAAUGAGUCUUUAUCCCGCAUGGCCAGGGCUCCAAAAAUAAAGGAUUUAUCCUCUCUG
rnacentral:lncRNA from 1 species